AGGAACAAGCGCGAGGAAGAGCCUCGGCAAGAAUUGCCCGCCCAGGGCCGCCUUUCGGAGGGCCCUCGCCGCCUCGGCCGAAGCCCUAACCCCAAUACGGUUCCACCAUCGGGCCUCCUGGGGUCCGGAGUCCCGUUCUAACCCACUUCGGUCCGGAUACUCACGGGCGGAACGAAGGCCAUUCCAUAUUCUUGGCAGCAGAGGAAAUCCGCUCAACCCAAUUUCGCUCCCUCACCAGUUGAGACAUGUUUCAGAAUAGCAAGCACAAGAUGGCACCAUUCUCACAAGAUGGAGUUGAACAUGGUGGGAAAAUGCCCAGUUUCUCCUGAGGCCUGAAGGGUGCAGAGUUGCUACUUUUACUCGGAUAACAUGCUGUGUGAACAGGCAUCUCUAUCCAAUAUACAAGAUUCGGCUUCCAGUGCCACACUACGCAUCUGUAACUUUAAAAAAAAAAAAGAAAGAAAGUGGGCGGUGCGGAGUUACACAAAGAAAAGUCCCUCUGGAAACCUCUUAGUUAUAAAUACAGAUGAUCGACUUUGUGGACUCCAUGUCCCGCCUUGCAUUGCUUUUCCAGGAUAUGAAAGGUGCACCCAUUCCAUUGCCCCUGUGCAUUCUGGGACUCGUAGUUCCUGCAAGUAUACGUCGUCGUUAAAGGAACCGUUCCUUUGAAAUCCGGCAACGAGGAACAAUGCAGGAAGAGGAAAUCACCAGGUUGAAAGGAAAAAGGAAGGAUUUAAUAAAAAAAAAAAAGCCACUCUUAAUAAGGUUUCUGGAUUCUUUACCGCUCUGGCAAUUUUAUUAUUAGCCCUUGAUAUUUAUAGAGUAUCAGCCCAGCAACAGAAAUAUAUACCCAUUAUAACUCUGGAGAAUUUUGGAACAUCGUAAUUCUAUGACUCGACAGCAAAUCGAAGUUACGAAGUUUGUUUUAAAUGAAAGCAUGGAAUCAAUUAUAUUUUAUUUGAAAUAAAGAGCUAUCAAUAAAAUAAG